rnacentral:rRNA from 1 species
CACGGUAAACGAUGGAUGCCCGCUGUUUGCGAUAUAGUGUGAGCGGCCAAGAGAAAUCGUUAAGCAUCCCACCUGGGGAGUACGCCGGCAACGGUGAAACUCAAAGGAAUUGACGGGGGCCCGCACAAGCGGAGGAACAUGUGGUUUAAUUCGAUGAUACGCGAGGAACCUUACCCGGGCUUGAACUGCCAGCGAACGAUACAGAGAUGUUGAGGCCCUUCGGGGCGCUGGUGGAGGUGCUGCAUGGUUGUCGUCAGCUCGUGCCGUGAGGUGUCGGCUUAAGUGCCAUAACGAGCGCAACCCUUUUCGUCAGUUGCCAUCAGGUGAAGCUGGGCACUCUGGCGAUACUGCCACCGUAAGGUGUGAGGAAGGUGGGGAUGACGUCAAAUCAGCACGGCCCUUACGUCCGGGGCUACACACGUGUUACAAUGGGGAGUACAGAGAGUCGGUGCAUGGCAAUGUGCAUCCAAUCAUGAAAGCUCUCCUCAGUUCGGAUUGGGGUCUGCAACCCGACC